ACCCGCUGAAUUUAAGCAUAUAAAUAAGCGGAGGAAAAGAAACUAACGAGGACUCUCCUAGUAACGGCGAGUGAACGGGGAAGAGCCCAGCGCCGAAUCCCGCGACCCCAUAGGAGGGUCGCGUCAGGGAAAUGUGGCGUUUGGGAGAGACAUGUCCUUGCGGCAGUCGGAGCCGUAGGUCCUCCUGACCGGGGCCAAUACCCAUGGAGGGUGCUAGGCCCGUAUCGACUCUGACUCCGUUUGGACGUCCUCUCCCUAGAUUCGGGUUGCUUGGGAGUGCAGCCCUAAUCGGGUGGUAGACUCCACGUAAGGCUAAGUACAGCCGCGAGACCGAUAGCGAACAAGU
rnacentral:rRNA from 1 species